GGAAGGUUUUCAAAGCUGUGAAAGCCCUGUGUGUAUGUGAUCCUUUACUACAGAAAUAUAUAAAAUAAUAAUGCCUCCAACAAAUCUUCCAUCAUGUGAGAAGAGCUGUGAUAGACUGGGUUUGGGACUGCAGAGAGGUAAGUAGCUGUUUGUGUGUGUAAACAAUGUUACAGUAGGUACAAACUAAGAAGUAGACCUCUCCUGCUUUCUGUAGAAUCAUGGCUCCCUCUCCACGUGUGUGUCUAUGCGGAAGUACAAUGAAGAGACACCAGGUCUACAUUUAACAAGUGCCUCUCAAUAAACACUUUACUGUGUGCACCAUGGGCUGCUGGAAAACCUACCUGGAAAAAACUACCCUGAGUUACCCUGAUCCAACUCUCACAAAACUCUCAUUUAACCCCUGGCUAGAACAGUCUGCUGACACUCAAACAGUUAAAUGGGGUUAAAGGGGUUAAUCUGCCAUCAGCUAUUUAAUAAAAUAAUAGUGCUGGCAGUUAUAUAUCUAUAAAUAUACAGUAAUCAAACUUUUCCCAAAAUAAUGUAAAAAUGUAUUAACAGCCCAUAAAGAGGCGACAUUAAUGUAUUAUUUUUUUAUUUAAUUUCAAAAUUUAUUGUAAUUAUAUAAUGUUCGUGUGGCAGGAAUUUAUGGGGAUAAACUAUAGAAAGAGCAGCCAAAAUGAUUGCGUUCUAGAUUCUAAUGUGGUUAAGUGGGAUGUAAAGAAAAAAAAAGAAACAUUCGAUCGAUACAAAUAAAUAACAAAUGGAACUAGUGUGAAUGUUUAGUAAAUAACUGUAUCCAGGUGUUUUUAGAACACACACACACAGUGCAUUUCAUUGGGUCAUUAAAAGCCAAGUUUCCUUAUAAGUGGGCUAUGAUUUUCUGCACACAGAAUCUUCUAUUACAUGCACAAACUCUAAUAGUCGUAUAUAACACAUGAAUUAUUUUAUAGCAUGGGUAGAAUAUACUAUAUUAAAUCAUCAGUCACAUAAAAUGCAGCGUUGCACAUUUAGUACUAUAUCCUGACAAUUAUUGCACCUGGCUUAAUUACUGCAGAGCAGUGGGCAUGGUGUUUAAAACUAAAAUCGUGCUAGUGUUGAAUUAAAACUAUGCUGUGCAUGAAACUGAUUUAUUUGAUAUAUUUCAAUAAAUAUGCCAAGCUCUCUUUAAUAAACAUGCCAGACUUUGUUAACACUGUUCCAGGGGCAGGGUAAAGUGUACACAUAGAUGUCAUAUACAUAUUCAUACAGCAAUACACAAGGUAGGGACUUCCUGUAUAAGGGACCCCCAAUACGGUCAAGGGCUCUGACUGUAACCGAAAGAAAUGCUUUCUAGUCGGAUACAAUGUUGCAAUUAGGUCCCUCAACAGCGACACCUGCUGGUAGAUAGGAGUAUUGCAAUAAAGUUACUCCAAGGCUGUAACCUGCAGGCUCCGAGCGCUGUGCGGAGUUUGGAUGAUCAACUCCCGGGGACAAGCCACCAGAACCGGGUUACAGGGACCUCAAAGUGACCCAGCUCCUGCUUCAUAAAUGGGGAGGAGGGAGGAGGCAAAAGCCGGCUCUGAUCGCUGUCCUUACCAAGGGGGGAACAGAAACGCCCAGUUUUAACGGUCAGAGAUGGGGGGAUUUACUAAACACUCAUUUCCAAUCAUUUUUUUUUCUGUGUCUAAUUUUACUUGGAUGUCACUAAAAUUCACUUGAUAUGCAGUCUGCAUUCACAUGAUCACUGAAUUCUCACUAUCCAAUUGGUGAAAUAAACAAUGACUGGGAAAGUCAGUUAGAAAAAACUAAAUGGGCGAAUGAAAGAGUUAAUAGUUUAUAAAAAUAUUAAACUUGUUACAUUGUUGCUGGUCUUGCUACAUUGUUGCAGAUCUGACUAAAAAUAAAUACAUUAUGUCUCUGUGCUACCAGGCAGGCUUAAAUUAAUCAUGAUUGUGGAAUUACUAAAUCUCUGUACAAAUCUGCAUUCUCAAUCCUGUCGACUGCAAUCAUGCUUUAAAUGUACACUCAGAACUUAGAACAAAAAAAAAAAAACCAACAAAAAUAUUGCUUAAUCGUAUUUUUCAAAACAACUAUAAAUAUGCAUUUAAAAUUAAAUAAGAAGCUUUUUUGCAUUUUAUUUGCAUUCAGAAAAUUGCAUCUAAUGACUUAUUUUUUCUUUUUUUUAAAGGCAGAAAAGAAGGGAGAAAAAAAUGAAAAAAAAUGAAAAAAUCUGAAUUUACAAGAAAAUGCAAAAAAUAAUAUGAAAAUUAACUUACCAGACAUUUG